UGGGGAAUAUUGGACAAUGGGCGCAAGCCUGAUCCAGCCAUGCCGCGUGAGUGAUGAAGGCCCUAGGGUUGUAAAGCUCUUUCACCGGGGAAGAUAAUGACGGUAACCGGAGAAGAAGCCCCGGCUAACUUCGUGCCAGCAGCCGCGGUAAUACGAAGGGGGCUAGCGUUGUUCGGAUUUACUGGGCGUAAAGCGCACGUAGGCGGACUAUUAAGUCAGGGGUGAAAUCCCGGGGCUCAACCCCGGAACUGCCUUUGAUACUGGUAGUCUUGAGUUCGAGAGAGGUGAGUGGAAUUCCGAGUGUAGAGGUGAAAUUCGUAGAUAUUCGGAGGAACACCAGUGGCGAAGGCGGCUCACUGGCUCGAUACUGACGCUGAGGUGCGAAAGCGUGGGGAGCAAAAAGG
rnacentral:rRNA from 1 species